AACUAACGCUGGCGGCGUGCCUAACACAUGCAAGUCGUACGAGAAAGCCGGCUUCGGCUGGUGAGUAAAGUGGCGCACGGGUGAGUAACGCGUGGAUAAUCUGCCCUUAAGUGUGGAAUAACGUACCGAAAGGUGCGCUAAUACCGCAUAAUGCCUGGCAACACAAGUUGUCCGGCCAAAGAAGGCCUCUGUUUACAAGCUUUCGCUUCAGGAUGAGUCCGCGUACCAUUAGCUUGUUGGUGGGGUAAUGGCCUACCAAGGCUGCGAUGGUUAGCUGGUCUGAGAGGAUGAUCAGCCACACUGGAACUGAGACACGGUCCAGACUCCUACGGGAGGCAGCAGUGAGGAAUAUUGCGCAAUGGGGGCAACCCGUGACGCAGCAACGCCGCGUGAGUGAGGAAGGUUUUCGGACUGUAAAGCUCUGUCGAGCGGGAAGAAGUGUACCAUGGCUAAUAUCCAUGAUAUUUGACGGUACCG
rnacentral:rRNA from 1 species